AUUGAACAGUAAGUAGCCGUCCUUUGUUCUCGGGGGUGGCCGCCAUUCGACAAACGAACACGUGGCGGCGGCCAUUUUAAAACUCCCGAACAGCGGUGUUUUGCCGUCGAGUGUCUGGAACUAAAAUCGGACACUCGAGUAGGCGAACACCGCUGAGACCUCCACAGCCCUGGUCCGUUCGGUUCCAAACUACCGAACGGCCCCUCGUUCGGUAGAUAGAGAAUACCGAACGAGGGGAUUCAGGCGAACCCUCCCUAGCCUCUAUAGCUAGAGGUUUUCGUGUAUU